rnacentral:sRNA from 1 species
AUUUUCAUAACGGCUGUCUCAGGCUGCGGGGAGGAGGGUGACAAGCGGGAGGGGGCAGAGGAGCAGCCACGGCUGCUAGCUCUCCAAACUAGGACUUGCUCAGCAGAGGCCACCAGCCCGGAGCUAGAGCCAGAGCCCGGCCUUGGGGACCCCAGCUCCCGCCUGCGCCCUGCCUUCCAGAUCAGCCAACCGCCUGCCAUGGAGACUUUCUUUAGGAGACAUUUCCGGUGGAAGGUGCCAGGCCCCGGAGAGGGGCAGCGGCGGCCCAGCAGCGUGGGGCUGCCCACAGGCAAGGCCCGACGUCGCUCCCCCGCUGGGCAGGCCUCCUCCUCACUGGCACAGCGGCGCCGCUCCAGCGCCCAGCUCCAGGGUUGCCUCCUGAGCUGCGGGGUGAGGGCCCGGGGUUCCAGCCGCCGGCGCUCCAGCACUGUUCCCCCUUCCUGCAACCCCCGCUUCAUCGUGGAUAAGGAAAGCCAUCACCAAGUCGGGCCUCCAGCACCUGGCCCCCCCUCCGCCCACCCCUGGGGCCCCGUGCAGCGAGUCAGAGCGGCAGAUCCGGAGCACAGUGGACUGGAGCGAGUC